AAGAGUAAUUUUUAAAGUCUUCCAUUGAAAGUUCCAUAUAUUUUAAACACAAAAAGAAAUAGCCUAGCAUACAAACAUUCUAGGGAUUCCCAAAUAAUUUCUCUAAUAGCAGAGAUCUCUGAUGUGCAAGUGGCCAGCGUGUUCCCAAAAUAUAAGCACUUCUAAUCUUGGCAAACUUGUCCUUGAGAUGCCAAUGUUGACUGGUGACUAUCCACAGGCAGGGCUAGAAAAGGGAGUGGAACAUUUUACUUAGGCAGGAAGCACUGAAGAGAAGAAUCUUUUUUUCAGUAGACAUUUGUGGGAAAUAAAAAUUUGUUUAGAAGAAUUUAGGCCAAGAGAUAAAAUGGUCUUCUUUUGACUGAGGAGAGAUAAGAUAGAUUUUAAGCAGACAUCUGAAGUUAAAGGUGAGAGAAGGAAGAUAAACUGGGUGAUUUUGCUCACCUAAGAAGGUACACAGAUCCAAAGAAAAAGAGAUUCGAGAGGUGUCUCCAGCUUCUGAUUUUGAUGACAUCUCCCAGAGAGGACCGUGUUGCCAUCACCAUCCCAGAGUCUGAAAGUGUCCAGGAAAUAUCAAUGAAAUCAUGGAAUUUUGAAGAAGAUACAACAAUUUUAUUUCUGCUACAACAGACGUUCUGCUAAUGGAACAGAAGUCAGCGAAGGACCUAUUAGGUUUUAGGUCACUUAUUACUCAAAGUUUAUACAUUCUACACUAAGUUAUUUAUUGCUCAAAUUUAUCUCAUAUUUAUUCCUAGAUUGUGUGUAUUAAUACAAGGCCCAGAAAAGUUGAAUAAUGUACAGUAUAUUUCAAGUAUUAUAAUUAAAAACUUAGAGAUUUAGCCCAGGUUUAUCUGAACCAAUAUCUUCUGUUUUUUUCACUCAAAUAUUUUGAGGAUGAGCAUUAUUUAGCAGUGAAUAGGUGUGUUCUUAGGCAGAAAAUCCUCCAAUGCAUUCUUCUUAGUGAAAGAAGCCAGACACAAACAGGAUGCAAAUUGUAAGAUUCUAUAUGAAAUAUAAAUCCAUGGAGACAUAACUCAGAUUGGGGGGUUGUUAGAGUAUAGAGAGGAAGGAUGGGGAGAAACUUCUAAAUGAAUAAGUUUUACUAAGCUUUGUGGAAAUAUUUUGCAACUCGAGAGAGAUGGUCAUUGCACAAUAUUGUGAAAAUGCUGAAUGACACUUAAUCGUUCAUUUUAAAAUGGGUAAUUUUAUGUUGUGUGAAUUUCACCCUAGCAAAUUAUUUUUAAAAUAGAAAAUACAACUGUGAUGACAAAGAACAUUAGACUCCAGUUCUAACAUUAUGACAGUUAAUGCAUGGAAAUAGAUAUGACUCUUUUCUUCCCCCACACAUUACAUUACAAAAGUUGAUACCCAACAUUAAAUCCUUUCGUAAUAGAGAAAAUAUUGCUAGACAAUGACAGUGGUUCCAAGGCAGCUUUAAGAACAGAAGUGCCACAUGUAACUCACUGUGAUUCAUAUCUGUGUUUUGCUUAGUACCUAACACCAUACCUGGCAAAAUACCCUAUAAAAGUGAAGAGGAUUAAAUUUUGAAAUCCAGGAUCAAUAUAAAUAAAUAGGUACAAGUUUUCUGAAAGCUACUGCCUGUAUGUUUCAUAGUUUUGCCUUUAUAAUCAGUCAUGGUUCAACAUCUUAUUUCUAAGUUUAACUAAAGAUAUAUUCUUCAUACUUUAAGGGUAGGAGAAGAAAGUAUAAAUUGGAUUAAAAUUAAAAUAUAGCUUUUUGAUGAAAGUUGAAUUCUUUGGCACCAGCCAUCACGUUAUAAGCAACUUUAUUGACACACAAGUAAUUGCUUAUACACAGUGUAAACAUACACUAUAGUUUAUCUCAGUCAGUGGUGGCUUUUUAUUUUAAAGAGCUCUAUAAACAUGAAACCAUUUUGUUAUAUGUAAUCAACUACACUUUGCUGCCUGAUUAAAAAAAGAGAUUUUAUCUCUUUCAUUGGAUGACACUUUAAUAAAGAAAAAGGUAAUGCUGUUGAA
rnacentral:lncRNA from 1 species